rnacentral:rRNA from 1 species
UACGUAGGGGGCAAGCGUUAUCCGGAUUUACUGGGUGUAAAGGGAGCGUAGACGGCCAGACAAGUCUGAAGUGAAAAUCCAGCGCUUAACGUUGGAAGUGCUUUGGAAACUGCCGGGCUGGAGUGCAGGAGGGGCAGGCGGAAUUCCUAGUGUAGCGGUGAAAUGCGUAGAUAUUAGGAGGAACACCAGUGGCGAAGGCGGCCUGCUGGACUGCAACUGACGUUGAGGCUCGAAGGCGUGGGGAGCAAAUAGG